GUUGUAUGGUUAAGUGACUAAGCGUACACGGUGGAUGCCUUGGCAGUCAGAGGCGAUGAAAGACGUAGUAACUUGCGAUAAGCCCAGAUUAGGUAGUAACAACCAUUUGAGUCUGGGAUUUCUGAAUGGGGAAACCCACUUACAUAAGUAAGUAUCAUUAACUGAAUACAUAGGUUAAUGAGGCGAACCGGGGGAACUGAAACAUCUAAGUACCCCGAGGAAAAGAAAUCAACCGAGAUUCCGAAAGUAGCGGCGAGCGAAAUUGGACUAGCCCUUAAGCUUUACACGCGUUAGACGAACGGUCUGGAAAGUCCGACGAUACAGGGUGAUAGUCCCGUAGUUGACGACGUGUGUUCAGUGAAAUCGAGUAGGGCGGGACACGUGAUAUCCUGUCUGAAUAUGGGGGGACCAUCCUCCAAGGCUAAAUACUACUGACUGACCGAUAGUGAACCAGUACCGUGAGGGAAAGGCGAAAAGAACCCCUGUGAGGGGAGUGAAAUAGAACCUGAAACCGUGUACGUACAAGCAGUAGGAGCAGGCUUUGUCCUGUGACUGCGUACCUUUUGUAUAAUGGGUCAGCGACUUAUAUUCAGUGGCAAGGUUAACCAUCUAGGGGAGCCGUAGGGAAACCGAGUCUUAACUGGGCGUUCAGUCUCUGGAUAUAGACCCGAAACCAGGUGAUCUAGCCAUGGGCAGGUUGAAGGUUGAGUAACAUCAACUGGAGGACCGAACCGACUAAUGUUGAAAAAUUAGCGGAUGACUUGUGGCUAGGGGUGAAAGGCCAAUCAAACCUGGAGAUAGCUGGUUCUCCCCGAAAGCUAUUUAGGUAGCGCCUCGGACGAAUACUACUGGGGGUAGAGCACUGUUAAGGCUAGGGGGUCAUCCCGACUUACCAACCCUUUGCAAACUCCGAAUACCAGUAAGUACUAUCCGGGAGACACACGGCGGGUGCUAACGUCCGUCGUGGAGAGGGAAACAACCCAGACCGCCAGCUAAGGUCCCAAAUUACUACUAAGUGGGAAACGAUGUGGGAAGGCUCAGACAGCCAGGAUGUUGGCUUAGAAGCAGCCAUCAUUUAAAGAAAGCGUAAUAGCUCACUGGUCGAGUCGGCCUGCGCGGAAGAUGUAACGGGGCUAAGUAGUAAACCGAAGCUGCGGCAAUAUACUUUUGUAUAUUGGGUAGGGGAGCGUUCUGUAAGCGGUUGAAGGUGUGUGGUAACGCAUGCUGGACGUAUCAGAAGUGCGAAUGCUGACAUGAGUAACGAUAAAGGGGGUGAAAAACCUCCUCGCCGGAAGACCAAGGGUUCCUGUCCAACGUUAAUCGGGGCAGGGUAAGUCGACCCCUAAGGCGAGGCCGAAAGGCGUAGUCGAUGGGAAACGGGUUAAUAUUCCCGUACUUCUUACAAUUGCGAUGGGGGGACGGAGAAGGCUAGGUGGGCCUGGCGACGGUUGUCCAGGUUCAAGUGCGUAGGCUUAAGAGUUAGGUAAAUCCGGCUCUUUUUAAGGCUGAGACACGACGUCGAGCACCUACGGGUGUGAAGUCAUUGAUGCCAUGCUUCCAGGAAAAGCCUCUAAGCUUCAGAUUGUAAGGAAUCGUACCCCAAACCGACACAGGUGGUCGGGUAGAGAAUACCAAGGCGCUUGAGAGAACUCGGGUGAAGGAACUAGGCAAAAUGGUACCGUAACUUCGGGAGAAGGUACGCUCUUGAUGGUGAAGUCCCUCGCGGAUGGAGCUGACGAGAGUCGCAGAUACCAGGUGGCUGCAACUGUUUAUUAAAAACACAGCACUGUGCAAAAUCGUAAGAUGACGUAUACGGUGUGACGCCUGCCCGGUGCCGGAAGGUUAAUUGAUGGGGUUAGACUUCGGUCGAAGCUCUUGAUCGAAGCCCCGGUAAACGGCGGCCGUAACUAUAACGGUCCUAAGGUAGCGAAAUUCCUUGUCGGGUAAGUUCCGACCUGCACGAAUGGCGUAAUGAUGGCCACGCUGUCUCCACCCGAGACUCAGUGAAAUUGAAAUCGCUGUGAAGAUGCAGUGUACCCGCGGCUAGACGGAAAGACCCCGUGAACCUUUACUACAGCUUGGCACUGAACAUUGACCCUACAUGUGUAGGAUAGGUGGGAGGCUUUGAAGCACGUACGCCAGUAUGUGUGGAGCCGUCCUUGAAAUACCACCCUUGUAGUGUUGAUGUUCUAACGUCGACCCCUUAUCGGGGUUGCGGACAGUGCCUGGUGGGUAGUUUGACUGGGGCGGUCUCCUCCCAAAGAGUAACGGAGGAGCACGAAGGUGGGCUAAUCACGGUUGGACAUCGUGAGGUUAGUGCAAUGGCAUAAGCCCGCUUGACUGCGAGAAUGACAAUUCGAGCAGGUGCGAAAGCAGGUCAUAGUGAUCCGGUGGUUCUGAAUGGAAGGGCCAUCGCUCAACGGAUAAAAGGUACUCCGGGGAUAACAGGCUGAUACCGCCCAAGAGUUCAUAUCGACGGCGGUGUUUGGCACCUCGAUGUCGGCUCAUCACAUCCUGGGGCUGAAGUCGGUCCCAAGGGUAUGGCUGUUCGCCAUUUAAAGUGGUACGCGAGCUGGGUUUAGAACGUCGUGAGACAGUUCGGUCCCUAUCUGCCGUGGGCGUUGGAAGAUUGAAGGGGGCUGCUCCUAGUACGAGAGGACCGGAGUGGACGAACCUCUGGUGUUCGGGUUGUGUCGCCAGACGCAUUGCCCGGUAGCUAAGUUCGGAAUCGAUAACCGCUGAAAGCAUCUAAGCGGGAAGCGAGCCCUGAGAUGAGUCUUCCCUGAUACUUUAAGUAUCCUAAAGGGUUGUCGGAGACUACGACGUUGAUAGGUCAGGUGUGUAAGUGCUGUGAGGCAUUGAGCUAACUGAUACUAAUUGCCCGUGAGGCUUAACCAUACAACACCCAAGGGGUUU
rnacentral:rRNA from 1 species